rnacentral:tmRNA from 1 species
UACACUUCCAAUUCAGGAUCGGUCGCCUAUAUGGGUCCUGCCGGUUUCGGCCGGCUAUGGCGAUAAAUUGCGGUGUGCAAUAGGCACAGCGGACCCGGGGGCAGUACCCGGCGGCUCCACCAUCACCACCCGGUGCACGCACCGGGGCCCUGUUGUCGCAGGGGUGUUGACGGGGCCGAACCAGGAUCGACGUGUGUUGAAAAGCACUGUUUUCGCCCGGGCUGAGUAACCCGUUAAAGGCUCAAAACACACAAGUGCCAACGACAACGAAGCACUCGCUCUUGCCGCGUAACAUGACGGCCUAACGGCCAGACGUUACAAAGCUUAAGCGCGGUUGGACCGACCGGGCAACAGAACGGAUUCCGG